UACAGAGGGGGCGAGCGUUGUUCGGAAUUACUGGGCGUAAAGGGCGCGUAGGCGGCCAACUAAGUCAGACGUGAAAUCCCUCGGCUCAACCGGGGAACUGCGUCUGAUACUGGAUGGCUUGAAUUCGGGAGAGGGAUGCGGAAUUCCAGGUGUAGCGGUGAAAUGCGUAGAUAUCUGGAGGAACACCGGUGGCGAAGGCGGCAUCCUGGACCGAGAUUGACGCUGAUGCGCGAAAGCCAGGGGAGCGAAACGGGG
rnacentral:rRNA from 1 species